UCCGGUUUAACACCGGCAGUCUCCAUAGAGUGCCCAACUGAAUGAUGGCAACUAGGGAUAAGGGUUGCGCUCGUUAAGGGACUUAACCCGACAUCUCACGAUACGAGCUGACGACAGCCAUGCAGCACCUGUCUCCAAGCUCCCGAAGGAGAAGCCGUAUCUCUACGGCGGUCUUGGGAUGUCAAACCCAGGUAAGGUUCUUCGCGUUGCAUCGAAUUAAACCACAUGCUCCACCGCUUGUGCGGGCCCCCGUCAAUUCCUUUGAGUUUUAACCUUGCGGCCGUACUUCCCAGGCGGGGUACUUAAUGCGUUAGCGUCGACACUGGAGGGGUCAAUUCCCCCAACAUCUAGUACCCAUCGUUUACAGCGUGGACUAC
rnacentral:misc_RNA from 1 species